rnacentral:rRNA from 1 species
AUUGAACGCUGGCGGCAGGCUUAACACAUGCAAGUCGAGCGGAGCGAGGGAGCUUGCACCUUAGCUUAGCGGCGGACGGGUGAGUAAUGCUUAGGAAUCUGCCUAUUAGUGGGGGACAACAUUCCGAAAGGAAUGCUAAUACCGCAUACGCCCUACGGGGGAAAGCAGGGGAUCUUCGGACCUUGCGCUAAUAGAUGAGCCUAAGUCGGAUUAGCUAGUUGGUGGGGUAAAGGCCUACCAAGGCGACGAUCUGUAGCGGGUCUGAGAGGAUGAUCCGCCACACUGGGACUGAGACACGGCCCAGACUCCUACGGGAGGCAGCAGUGGGGAAUAUUGGACAAUGGGCGGAAGCCUGAUCCAGCCAUGCCGCGUGUGUGAAGAAGGCCUUUUGGUUGUAAAGCACUUUAAGCGAGGAGGAGGCUACUUAGAUUAAUACUCUGGGAUAGUGGACGUUACUCGCAGAAUAAGCACCGGUUAACUCUGUGCCAGCAGCCGCCGUAACAC